AGAAGAAAACAACUGAGUGAGAAACCUUCAAAAUUUUGAGUUGUUUUCAUCUAGCGAGUUUCAAAUCCUGGUACUUAGCAAAGACGCACACUUUCUCGAGUAAAAUAGAUGAAAACAACUCAGAGCGUUUGAAAACAAAAGUUGUUAGUCGGACGGCGACGGGUUGGUUUCCACUAGAUGCGGAACAGCUUUUCGCAACUGGAAUAGGAGGAAGUACCGGCUAAUCAUGAAGUCUAUUCCCACCGAGGAACAACAACCGUCGAAACCGGGGGCGAUGAGAAGGAGGAAAAGUUUUGUGAUAAAACGAGCGAAAAUCGGAACCAACGGCGACGAAGUCGCAGCUGCCAAGAUCAUCUCUUGCACCGAUGGCUGAAGCACCAGCGGCUCCAGCUAAACCAUCCUCCUUAUUCAACAACAGCCAUUCCGAGAUAAACGUUGGCCAAUUUCUGCUGUUCCCAAUCCUUUUCCAUCGGUAAAUUCCUUUGUUUGCAGGAGAGGAACGAUAUGCCAACACAAAAAAUGGUGGUUGCCUCUCGCCGACUCCAGCGA